GAUGAACGCUGACAGAAUGCUUAACACAUGCAAGUCUACUUGAAUUUGGGUUUUUUAACUUAGAUUUGGGUGGCGGACGGGUGAGUAACGCGUAAAGAACUUGCCUCACAGCUAGGGACAACAUUUGGAAACGAAUGCUAAUACCUGAUAUUAUGAUUAUAAGGCAUCUUAGAAUUAUGAAAGCUAUAUGCGCUGUGAGAGAGCUUUGCGUCCCAUUAGCUAGUUGGAGAGGUAACGGCUCACCAAGGCGAUGAUGGGUAGCCGGCCUGAGAGGGUGAACGGCCACAAGGGGACUGAGACACGGCCCUUACUCUUACGGGAGGCAGCAGUGGGGAAUAUUGGACAAUGGACCAAGAGUCUGAUCCAGCAAUUCUGUGUGCACGAUGACGUUUUUCGGAAUGUAAAGUGCUUUCAGUUGGGAAGAAAAAAAUGACGGUACCAACAGAAGAAGUGACGGCUAAAUACGUG
rnacentral:rRNA from 1 species